rnacentral:tRNA from 1 species
GCCUCCUUAGCUCAGCGGUAGAGCACCUCCAUGGUAAGGAGGGGGUCCCGGGUUCAAUUCCCGGAGGAGGCUCCA